UACGGAGGGAGCUAGCGUUGUUCGGAAUUACUGGGCGUAAAGCGCACGUAGGCGGCUUUGUAAGUUAGAGGUGAAAGCCCGGAGCUCAACUCCGGAAUUGCCUUUAAGACUGCAUCGCUUGAAUCGGGAGAGGUGAGUGGAAUUCCGAGUGUAGAGGUGAAAUUCGUAGAUAUUCGGAAGAACACCAGUGGCGAAAGGCGGCUCACUGGACCGGUAUUGACGCCUGAGGUGCGAAAGCGUGGGGAGCAAACAGGAUUGAGAAACC
rnacentral:rRNA from 1 species